rnacentral:rRNA from 1 species
AACGAACGCUGGCGGCAGGCUUAACACAUGCAAGUCGAACGCCCCGCAAGGGGAGUGGCAGACGGGUGAGUCACGCGUGGGAACGUACCGUUUGCUACGGAAUAGCCCCGGGAAACCGGAAUUAAGACCGUAUGUGCCCGACGGGAGAAAGAUGUAUAGGAAAAGGAUCGGCCCGGGUUGGAUUAGCUAGUUGGUGGGGUAAUGGCCUACCAAGGCGACGGAACAUAGCUGGUCUGAGAGGAUGAUCAGCCACAUUGGGACUGAGACACGGCCCAACCUCCUACGGGAGGCAGCAGUGGGGAAUAUUGGACAAGGGGCGCAAGCCUGAUCCAGCCACGCCGCGUGAGUGAUGAAGGCCUUAGGGUUGUAAAGCUCUUUCACCGGAGAAGAUAAUGACGGUAUCCGGAGAAGAAGCCCCGGCUAACUUCGUGCCAGCCGCCGCCGUAAAAC